UAGUUUCUGCCUCAAAACAUUCUGAUCAAAAUGCCAUGAACUUAAUGUACCUAUCUGUGUUCCCCCUCCUCCCUCUUGUGUACUACAAGUAGGUUGCAAAGACAGUUGGGAUUGUCUUGUAGUCAUACUAUGAGGGUUCUUUAUGCAUGCAAACAUAUGAUUUCUAAGUGAAGUAGUACCAUUCUUUUUUGGAUCAGAAAAAAAUUCCUUAUCACAAUAAUUGCACUUGCCUUUUUGCGUACCAGUAUUAUCGACAAACUUAGUGAAGUGAUCCCAAAC
rnacentral:lncRNA from 1 species